UACGAAGGGGGCUAGCGUUGCUCGGAAUUACUGGGCGUAAAGAGCGUGUAGGCGGCCAGGUAGGUCGGUUGUGAAAACUGGAGGCUCAACCUUCAGACGUCGACCGAAACCAUCUGGCUAGAGUCCGGGAGAGGAGAGUGGAAUUCCUGGUGUAGCGGUGAAAUGCGUAGAUAUCUGGAGGAACACCGGUGGCGAAGGCGGCAUCCUGGACCGACACUGACGCUGAGGAGCGAAAGCCAGGGGAGCAAACGGG
rnacentral:rRNA from 1 species